GUCUCUGCCCAUAUCAGCCUGAAGGCACCCCAUCUCCUCUGAUCUCGGAAGCUAAGCAGGGUCGGGUCUGGUUAGUACUUGGAUGGGAGACCACCUGGGAAUACCGGGCGCUGGAGGCU
rnacentral:rRNA from 1 species